CUCGCCCCCCUUGAAGAGGGGCGAAACUCUAGGGGGAGAGAUAAGAAAAGAAAAGGCCGGAGGCGGGCUUUAGGGUUUUUUAGGGGUUUGAUUUGAAGAUCUGAACUGAAGAAGAGGAAGAGAAAUUAUGGAGCCUUGUUUGUUUUGAGGGGAAUGUUGUCUGGCUCGAGGACACUCAAUUCGAUCCCGAUUUUUCUGUCUUUCAUUUCAGUGGCGUCGGACCAGGCUUCAUUCCCCCCAAUUGCUUGUCUCCUCAUCUCAGUAUUCCUCAUUUUUCUCAAUCAUCUCCUCAAGGUUAACUUCAAUUUCCCCUUUUGUGGCUUUAUUUUUUGUGGAAUAUGACCUCACUCAGCUUCCCAAUUUAAUGCCUUUUUUUUCCUUCUUCUAUUGUAGCAACCAAUUAACUGUAAAAUGAUUAUUAUUUUGUACUGUUAGUUAUGUUGGGUGGAGAUUUUGAUGGGUAUAAUGAUGGAGUUAUUUGACUGUUCUUCUUUUUCUUCUUGCUUCCUUUUUUUUUUAAUAAUUUUUUGUGGGUUUUUUUCUAAUUGCGCUAUGAUGGUGUUUUUGUUGUCAGUAGUAUAGGCUCUUUCUGAAUAAUCAUUACUCAGAUUUCUCUCAUGAUGGCUUUCAGUAUCCCAUCUGUCUCUUUCUGUAAUUUUCUCAGAUCUCUCUCUCUCUCAUCUCUCUUCUUCUUCUUCUUCUUCUUCUUCCUCUACCCUAGCUUCAUUUUUGGCCCUAACAUCAAAAUAGGUCUUAUUUAAUUUUAUUUAACCCAUGUUUUUGUCUUCAUUCCAUUUGGGAUUUACACAAUUGGGUUGUGUUUAUUUACUGGAUUCCAUUGGUUACUUUUCUUGUUUGGAGUGUGUGUGUUUUUAUAUUACAUUCAUCACAUGGGUAACUUUUGCAUGUCUUGAAAUUAACCCCAUUUGACAAAAUAAUUGAAACUUGAAUUAUUUCUUGACUUUAAUUUGUGCAUGUUGUAUGCGUUCAUUUGAUUAUCCAUUUUCAGAUUCACCCCACUAGUACUGUAUUUUGGUCGGUUUAUAAAUGGCGUUCUACACUUCAUUUUUUUAUCUUCUUUUAGUGUGUGUGUCAGUUCUCUUUUCACUACUAUGUGUUUUGCAGAGAGAGAGAGAGAAAGAGAGUCAAAAUGUUUUUGUUUUUUUACUUUUUAACUUUGUUUAAUUAUGUUAUACACUGUUUUUUGGGUUUAGAAAGGCAGCAUUUUUAUUGUUCUUUCAUUUUGACUGAAGAAAAAAGCUUGUUGGUUCAGCUUUGUUGAUUAGAAAUUUACGUGUUGAAAAAGGAGAGUUAAAAAAAAAAUGAUGGUGUCCGAUAAAGAAGAGAAUGGCUCUUUUUUACCUUUGGAUCAAAACUUUUAGCUUUGUAAUUUUUGUCCCCACACGUACACACACAAAACCUUAUAAGAGGACCUCCUCAAAGUUCUCUCUCUCUGUUUUUUUUAAAUAAAAAAAAAUUGAUUAACCCACAAAAAUAAUCAUGCAUUAUUAUCAAGUGGUCUUUUUUUUUUCUUCAUAUCUGAAAGAAAAGCAAGGACUUUUGGCUUGUCCAAUGUGAUGGAAGGAAGGGGUUGAAAGUUUGUCAGCUUUGUCUUCUGAUAUAUCAUAGAAAUCUCCGAAAGCUUUUUAGGAGAAGAAUCAAACAAGACUAUUCCCAACGAUCCAACUGAGAGUCAAAAUCCAUGGACGAAGAUUGAGGAAGAUGAAAAGAUCUUAUGUUUUCUUCUCCAUGGGAGGGUGAUGGGGCAAUGUCACGGUUUGUUUGUUUGUUUCUAUUAGAAUAUUGCAUCCAAGGUGGAGGUUUGAAUCUAUGAUCGAGAAUGAGACGAGCCGAAAUGUGUCAGUUGACAUAUUUGAAAUGGGUUUGGCUAACUUUUUCAAUAUUGUAUUUUUGUUCAUGUUGUAAUGUGUGUGGUAUGAGACAUACUUUUUUUUUUUUUGAUUGACUUUGCAAUGGGUUGUGUUGGUGUGUACUGCUGGGAUUUUGAAAAUGAUGAGAGAGUUCUUUGGAAAAUGUAAAAGUCAAAAUUUCAAGUGUAAGACUAUUUGCUUAGUUGUAAGUAGCCCUCUGAGGGGUAGUAUUGUCUUCUAAA